rnacentral:rRNA from 1 species
AUGUGGCAGAGAUCUAGAGAUAGGAAGAUCAAAGAGGGAGAUAGAAACACAACAUAUGUUCAUGCUCUUGCUAACCAACGCAGAAGGAAGAAUCAACUGUCUAUCCUGGAAGGUCCAGAUGGGCCUAUAUACUCCACUAAAGACAUGUUGGAUGUUGCUACUGAAUUUUAUAAGAACCUCUUUGGUUAUGAACCCAGACCCAAUAUCCAUCUAGAUGACCAGUUUUGGUCUUACAAAGAGCUGGUGACAGAAGCAGAGAAUGCCUCCCUGGAAAAGCCCUUUUCAGAAGAGGAAAUUAAAGAAGCCAUCAUGAGCUCAUAUGCUAAUGGGGCCCCUGGCCCUGAUGGCCUCUCAUUCCUGUUUUAUCAACACUUUUGGGAGGUUAUCAAAAAUGUUUUUAUGGCCCUCGUGAGGGAUUUUGAAAAUGGGACCCUGGAUAUCCAGAGAAUAAAUUACUCUAUUGUUACUCUUAUCCCUAAAGAGCUAGAUGCCAAAAAUAUGAGGAAAUUUAGACCAAUUUUUUGA